rnacentral:rRNA from 1 species
UGGGCGUCGAGCGGCGGACGGGUGAGUAAUGCCUAGGAAUUGCCUUGAUGUGGGGGAUAACCAUUGGAAACGAUGGCUAAUACCGCAUAAUGCCUACGGGCCAAAGAGGGGGAUCUUCGGACCUCUCGCGUCAAGAUAUGCCUAGGUGGGAUUAGCUAGUUGGUGAGGUAAUGGCUCACCAAGGCGACGAUCCCUAGCUGGUCUGAGAGGAUGAUCAGCCACACUGGAACUGAGACACGGUCCAGACUCCUACGGGAGGCAGCAGUGGGGAAUAUUGCACAAUGGGCGAAAGCCUGAUGCAGCCAUGCCGCGUGUAUGAGAAGGCCUUCGGGUUGUAAAGUACUUUCAGUGUGAGGAAGGGGGUAACGUUAAUAGCGUUAUCUCUUGACGUUAGCAACAGAGAGCACCGGCUACUCCGUGCCAGCAGCGCGUAUACGGAGGGUGCGAGCGUUAAUCGGAUACUG